rnacentral:rRNA from 1 species
GUCCACGCCCUAAACGAUCUUCACUAGCUUUUCGGAGUAUCGACCCUCUGAGAGGCGAAGCUAACGCGUUAAGUGAAGCGCCUGGGAAGUACGGCCGCAAGGCUAAAACUCAAAAGGAAUAGACGGGGACUCGCACAAGCGGUGGAUUAUGUGGUUUAAUUCGUAGGUAAACGAAGAACCUUACCCAGAUUUGAAACUGAGAUGAAAUCCUAAGAAACUAGGCCCUCGCAAGACAUCUCAGCAGGUGAUGCAUGGCCGUCGU